GCCCAUGUGGUAUAGCUUGGAUAGCAUAGGGGCUUGCGGAGCCUCGGACCCGGGUUCGAAUCCCGGCGUGGGCA
rnacentral:tRNA from 1 species